ACGGGUGAGUAAUGCGUCGGAACGUGCCGAGUAGUGGGGGAUAACGCAGCGAAAGUUGUGCUAAUACCGCAUACGUACUGAGGUAGAAAGUGGGGGACCUUCGGGCCUCACGCUAUUCGAGCGGCCGACGUCUGAUUAGCUAGUAGGUGAGGUAAGAGCUCACCUAGGCGACGAUCAGUAGCGGGUCUGAGAGGAUGAUCCGCCACACUGGGACUGAGACACGGCCCAGACUCCUACGGGAGGCAGCAGUGGGGAAUUUUGGACAAUGGGCGCAAGCCUGAUCCAGCCAUGCCGCGUGUCUGAAGAAGGCCUUCGGGUUGUAAAGGACUUUUGUCAGGGAGGAAAUCCUAGUGGCUAAUAACUACUGGGGAUGACAGUACCUGAAGAAUAAGCACCGGCUAACUACGUGCCAGCAGCCGCGGUAAUACGUAGGGUGCAAGCGUUAAUCGGAAUUACUGGGCGUAAAGCGUGCGCAGGCGGUUAGAUAAGCCAGAUGUGAAAUCCCCGAGCUCAACUUGGGAACUGCGUUUGGAACUGUUUAACUAGAGUGCGUCAGAGGGGGGUGGAAUUCCGCGUGUAGCAGUGA
rnacentral:rRNA from 1 species